rnacentral:ncRNA from 1 species
GACUUUAAAGAUCAGGCGGUGCCGGGUGAACGGGUAAAAAGAGCGUAGGCCUCUGAAAAGGUAACUGCAACAUAUAAAGGCUUUUUCGGACCAGAAGGAGAUUGGCCCUCAAGUGCAAAAACAUAAUAAAAUUUAAUUGUAGGACCCACUUGUCAAAUAGGGAUGAAAGUGAGCCUUAAAGAUUCGAUAGUGCCAGAUGAAAGGGUCAUUGCUCAAUGAAUAAAAGUUAC